rnacentral:rRNA from 1 species
AUUGAACGCUGGCGGCAGGCUUAACACAUGCAAGUCGAGCGGAGAUGAGGUGCUUGCGCCUUAUCUUAGCGGCGGACGGGUGAGUAAUGCUUAGGAAUCUGCCUAUUAGUGGGGGACAACAUUCCGAAAGGAAUGCUAAUACCGCAUACGUCCUACGAGAGAAAGCAGGGGAUCUUCGGACCUUGCGCUAAUAGAUGAGCCUAAGUCGGAUUAGCUAGUUGGUGGGGUAAAGGCCUACCAAGGCGACGAUCUGUAGCGGGUCUGAGAGGAUGAUCCGCCACACUGGGACUGAGACACGGCCCAGACUCCUACGGGAGGCAGCAGUGGGGAAUAUUGGACAAUGGGGGGAACCCUGAUCCAGCCAUGCCGCGUGUGUGAAGAAGGCCUUAUGGUUGUAAAGCACUUUAAGCGAGGAGGAGGCUACUGAGACUAAUACUCUUGGAUAGUGGACGUUACUCGCAGAAUAAGCACCGGCUAACUCUGUGCCAGCCGCCGCAGUAAGAC